GCUGGAGGCAAACACCGAGUUCCCCCAGAGCCGCCCGGGAGCAGGGAGGGUUCCGCUACUCCGGGGAGCCCUCCCCGCGGGGCAGAUGAGUUCAAUAUCCAGACUCUCUGAGCCAUGUUUUGGGGUCACCCAAUCAUUCCAUCCUCCUGACUUCCCAUAAACUUUUGGAUUCAUAACCCACUCCAUACUUGAGAACAUGGGGAUUGGAAUAAGGAGCUGACUAUGGUUUCUGUAGCAGAAAAUUACAUGUGAACAAAAGGAAGAAGGAAAAUUAGAUAAAUGAAAAGUCUAUUUCAAAAUAAAUGAAGAAGGGACAGUUAUCUGAUUAUAGAACAUUCAGAUCAUGGUAUAAUAAUUUUGUUGAAGAAACCAAGUUGUUUGUCCUGUAGAACUUCCUACAGCCUAGAUUUUUCUCAUUGCAUCUUCAUGAAAACAUGGUGGAGUGCCUUCUCUGCAGCAGACACUGUCCUGGAUGCUUAGGGCCAAGUAGCAAACAGACAGGGCUCUUCUCUCUGUUAAACAUGUGACUGCCUUUGCAGCUGUCAACCUGGGGACCUCCAAUGUUACCUCACAAAAAUAAAGUCAUUUUUGCAGUAUCAUAUUUCCUUUACAAUUUCUUGGGUCUCUCUUCAGGAAAAGAAAGAAACUGAAAAAGAAGAGCAAACUAAACCCAAAUCACGCAGAUGGAAGGAAAUAGAUGAGAGUGGAAAUUAAUGGAACAAAGAAUAGGAAAAACAAUAGAGAAAAUGAACAAAACCAAAAGCCGGUUCUUUGAAAAGAUCUACAAAAUGACAAACCUUUAGCUAGACUGACCAAGAAACAAAAGAGAGAAGAUUCAAAUUGCUGAAAUCAGAAAUAAAAGAGGACACUACUACUAACUCCACAAAAAUAAAAAGGAUAAAAAAGCGAAUACUAUCAACAAUUGUAUGCCAAUAAAUUAGAUAA